GAAGAGGUUUGGCAGUAACAAAGUUUAGCUAUUCUGCUGGCCAUCACUCCGGAAAGUGUUCCCACGAAGUGGCUGACUUAAAAAGUAAGCUUGACUAAGUAUCAUAUCACAUGAGCAGCACUGGAAAGAGGCAGAGCUGAGGGAAAGAGGGAAGCUUCUGUGUAGACGUCGACUUUACUCUUUGACCACCAUACCUUGCCUUUCAGUUUGUGGGUAGCUUAGGAAACCGAAGUCAGACAACAUAAUUGGCUUUUGGGGGAUAAGAAUUGUGUCUUUCGGAUGUUUCUCAUAGUGCUUUACAGGAUAUACCCUCAAAAGAAGCUGAAAAAAUUUUAAAAAGAAAGUCUGACACAUUUCAAUGCUGUGUUCAAGCCUUCUGUUUUCCAAAAGAGGCCAUCAGGUAUCACAGCAAAUCACUUUUGUGGAUUAUAAAAGGAAGGUGACUUGCAGCUCUAAAAUCUUAAAUUCUCUGCUCCAUGUUCUGUGUUUUAUAAAUAAGCAUAAUUGGUAUUCAGAAAAGAAAUCUGCAAUCUCAGCCUACUUCAGGAUGUUGGUCUUUCAGCCCACAUGGCUUACUCAUCUUUCAAGUGCAAGGCAGCUCUGCGUGGAGGAUGAUCUCACUCCGGACAAGUAAACACCAAUACCACCAACCUGAGUAGGCCUUCCAUGAAAUACUGGGGACACUAAGAAGCCACACCCCCUGAAACAUUCUAUGGUCAUUCAGCAUUUGAAGCAAAUUGGAAAGGUGAAAAACCUGAUAAGUGGGUGCCUCAUGAGCUCACCGAAAAUUUUUUUAAAAAUUGUCGUUUUGAAGUGUCAUCUUCUCUUAUUCUAUGCAACAACAAUGAACCAUUUCUUGAUUGGAUUGUGAUGUGCGAGGAAAAGUGGAUUUUAUAUGACAACUGGCGAUGACCAGCUCAGUGGUUGGACCGAGAAGAAGCUCCAAAACACUUCCCAAAGCCAAACUUGCACCAAAAAAGGUCCUGGUCACUGCUUGGUGGGCUGCUGCUGGUCUGAUCCACUGCAGCUUUCUGAAUCCCUGGGAAACCAUUACACCUGAGAAGUAUGCUCAGCAAACCAAUGAGAUGCACCAAAAACUGCAAUGCCUGCAGCUGGCUUUGGUCAACAGGAAGGGCCCAAUUCUUCUCCACCACAAUGUCCGACUGCACAUCACAACCCACGCUUCAGAAGUUGAACAAAUUGGGCUACGAAGUUUUGCCUCAUCUCCCAUGUUCACCUGACCUCUCGCUGAGAAGUAGCUUUGGAGCUUCUUCUCGGUCCAAACACUGAGCUGGUCAUCGCCGGUUGUCAUAUAAAAUCCACUUUUCCUCGCACAUCACAAUCCAAUCAAGAAAUGGUUCAUUGUUGUUGCAUAGAAUAAGAGAAGAUGACACUUCAAAACUACCACUUCUUCAAGCAUCUCAACAACUUUUUGCAGGGAAAAUGCUUCCACAACCAGCAGGAUGCAGAAAAUGCUCUCCAAAAGUUUGUCAAAUCCUGAAGCAUGGAUUUUUAGGCUACAGGAAUAAACGUAUUUCUCACUGGCAGAAAUUUAUUGAUUGUAAUGAUUCCUUUUUUGGUUAAAGACAUGUUUGAGCCUAGUUAUAACGACUUACAAUUCACGGUCCAAAACUGCAAGUACUUUUUGCACCAGCGAGAUGUGCAUAUGAGAAGCUUAUUUCACCAAGCCUCUUAUCUAGUCAUCUGUAUAAUUAUUUCAAGCACAGGAGGGACCCUACUUCUUACUGGGGAGGAUUAAGGAAGGCUUCCUGGAGGAUUGUCUCAGAGCUUGCUGCAGGUGCAUAUUGAAAAGCAAUUCAUUACAAUUUUCUAUAAGAGACUGUGGCUGAACAAUGAUACACAGAUUAGCAAACUGAGGCUUGGAGAAGUGGAAAACUUGCCUAAGAUUAAACAGCAUUAAAGGAACAGAGGCUGGGCUUGCAACUCAGCUCUGGGACUCCAAAGUCUGCCCUUUCCAACUACAUCGUCUUGCUGAUCGCGAGCUCAGUUGAUGGUAAAGACCUGUGAUUUUGGCCAUUACAAACAGUGCUGUUGUGAAUGUUGUGCCUGCCUGUCUUCCAGCUGGACAUAGUUGUUCCAGUUAAAGUCACAAUUUCCAAGAACCUAUAGGGGACAUGAAGUGAGGACCUGCUGUAAUUGGACAAGUGGGCAAGGAUGUAUGUACAGGGGAGUUCAUUGCAGCAUGAUUUGUAUUAGCAAAAAUGUCUAUUAAUAUGAGUCAACGAACAUUUAUACAUUGAAGUACUGUGUACCUCUUAAAAACAGUGAUAUUGAUCUGUUGUAGUCCCAUGGAAAUAUAUCCAAUGUAUAUGUAAAAAUAAUCAGAUUACCAAAUAAUUUAUAACUACCUUUGUAAGAAAAAUAAAAGAAAAUAAGAUGGAAAGCAUAUAUAUUUAAAUGUUAAUGGUGAUUAGUUUUCUCCAGUGGUUGAAUUUCAGUUGAUUUUUACGUUUUCUUUAUACCUUUCUGCAUUGUCUAAUGUUUUUUACAUUGAUCACUUGUUACUUUGAAACUAAAAAUGGCUAUUACUGUUUUGAAACAUGACAUUUUUACUACUCUGAAAAGGUGAAACACAUUAGAGAACUAAGAGGAUUUAAUUCUUUAAUGAAUGUGUAGUUUUUUGUUAUGCUACGGAACUUAGCCUCAGCCUAAUAAGCUAAACCCAAAGUGAGGGUGAGUAAGAUUCAAGAGGAAGAAGACAAAGAAGCUUAAAAAAAUCUGAAGUCUGUAGAAAUAAUAGAUCUUUCUAAAAGGGAUAUAGAGAAAAGAGGGAAUUAACCUUCACAUGGUUCAACUGCUGCAUUGAAUCAUUGGCUUGUCAGAGGAAAAACCUGGACAGUUAACGGUUCUUCUUGUGUCAGGCAGGGAAACAAGCAGAUGUCAAAUAGUGUUUGGCAAACGGACCUGCAGAGCCACCCUCCAGCAGUUUCUGAAGGGAAUCUCAACUCCUUGUUCCUGAAUUUGUGGAACAGGAUCUGGGCCAACUCCUUCCCCCACCUCCCGC
rnacentral:lncRNA from 1 species